rnacentral:rRNA from 1 species
GACGAACGCUGGCGGCGCGCCUAACACAUGCAAGUCGAACGAGCGAGAGAGAGCUUGCUUUCUCGAGCGAGUGGCGAACGGGUGAGUAACGCGUGAGGAACCUGCCUCAAAGAGGGGGACAACAGUUGGAAACGACUGCUAAUACCGCAUAAGCCCACGACCCGGCAUCGGGUAGAGGGAAAAGGAGCAAUCCGCUUUGAGAUGGCCUCGCGUCCGAUUAGCUAGUUGGUGAGGUAACGGCCCACCAAGGCGACGAUCGGUAGCCGGACUGAGAGGUUGAACGGCCACAUUGGGACUGAGACACGGCCCAGACUCCUACGGGAGGCAGCAGUGGGGAAUAUUGCACAAUGGGGGAAACCCUGAUGCAGCGACGCCGCGUGGAGGAAGAAGGUCUUCGGAUUGUAAACUCCUGUUGUUGAGGAAGAUAAUGACGGUACUCAACAAGGAAGGGACGGCUAACUACGU